rnacentral:rRNA from 1 species
UACGUAGGGGGCAAGCGUUAUCCGGAUUUACUGGGUGUAAAGGGUGCGUAGGUGGCAGGGCAAGUCAGAUGUGAAAGCCCGGGGCCCAACCCCGGUACUGCAUUUGAAACUGUCCGGCUGGAGUGCAGGAGAGGUAAGCGGAAUUCCUAGUGUAGCGGUGAAAUGCGUAGAUAUCAGGAGGAACAUCGGUGGCGAAAGCGCUUUACUGGACCAUUAUUGACGCUGAGGAACGAAAGCCAGGGGAGCAAAUGGG